rnacentral:rRNA from 1 species
AUUGAACGCUGGCGGCAGGCCUAACACAUGCAAGUCGAGCGAGCGGAGGACGGGUGAGUAAUGUAUGGGGACUGCCCGAUAGAGGGGGAUAACUACUGGAAAAGGUAGCGAAUACCGCAUACUAUGCGAUACCCCAUAUGCGAUUAGCUAGUAGGUGGGGUAAUGGCUCACCUAGGCGACGAUCCCUAGCUGGGCUGGGAGGAUGAUAAGCCACACGUGGAAGGAGACACGGCCCAGACGCCUACGGAGGCAGCAGUGGGGAAUAUUGCAAAAUGGGCACAAGCCUGAUGCAGCCAUGCCGCGUGUAUGAAGAAGGCCUUAGGGUUGUAAAGUACUGUCAGUCGGGAGGCGUUACCGACAGAAGAAGCACCGGCUAACUCCGUGCCAGCAGCCGCGGUAAUUC